GUGUUCACUUUGGCAGCACCUAUACUAAAAUUGGAACAAUCCAGAGAAGAUUAGCAUGGCCACUGCUUAAAGAUGACAUGCAAAUUCGUGAGGCACUCCAUAUUAAA